UUCAAUUUUAAUAAAAUAAUAAUGCAUUUUAACAAUAAAUAUAUAUUUUUAAAAAAACCGACCACAUGUGGUCGGUUUUUAAAAAAGCCACCACUACUUUUCCGACCACAAAUUUUGGUCGGUUUUAUGAUCGGAAAUUGGAAAAAACCGACCACUUAUGGUCGGUUUGUGUGGUUUCCUUUUUUUUAGUAGUGUAGUAAAUAACUUUUAUAUGUGUCAGCAUCAAUAAAGCUUCUUCACAAUUCACAAUCAAUACAGCUUCUUCACAAAUCACAAUCAAUAUAGCUUCAUACUCAGAUUUGCAGAUAUGAACGCAUAUUCAAAUUUGCAGCAGACAUGAGUUCAAUUACUAUAAUAGCUGAAUCAUGGAAAAAUAUUUCUCAAUGCUACAAAUUUAUAUGCCUCUUUUUCUCUCUGUUUCUUAUGUUUUGCGGUGUGUGUGUGUUUGUGUGUGUGGUAGCGUACCACUCAUGACAAGUUCCAUUCUUUUUUGCAAGUUGUUUUGAUGUGUGUGUCUGUUUUGUGAGUGUGUGCUGUGUUAGCAUACCACAAAUGACAAGUUUCAUUCUUUUGUGCACUGUGAAGGAGGGAAGACACUAAUUAUAUUUUCUUUCUUGUCCAUUGCCUUAUCCAUUUACAAUGGUACUUUGACAUCUGGCUUUUCACUAGUAUUAUGUUAGGUACCAUAUAUGUUUUUCUUGACUUUUUCCUUCUGUAUGCAAAGAUUUAUUCAUUUUGUGUUUCAGAGACCAGUAUUAGCUCUUGUGUUUUCUUCCUUGGCUGUUUCUUCAACUCUUAUUUGUCUUAGAACAUGAAGGAUAGCCUUGGCAUAACUAGUAAAGUUUUUACCAUGUGGCCCUGUUAGUAUAAAGACUGUGUACAAUAGACCGUAUGAACCGGCUCUUUCUAGGACUCCACGCUUAGAGGAAGCUAGUGCACCAUUCUACCCUAUAUAUGUCUUGAACUGGUGGAGGUGUAUAGUAAGGCUAAGACUACUUUUUUCUGCAGCUGCUGACCCUAUAGAUUUUUUUGUGAUUAAGUCGUCUUUUUUUCUGAAAUAGUACUCAUCAUUGCUUCGCUGCAGAAACAUUCACUACACUAUAAGAACUUCUUUGUCUCUCCUCCUCAUCUUUUUAUCAUUAUUUCAACCAAAUAAUCUAAAUAACAAGUGCGGGGCCUUGGGUUUCUACCAAAUAAUCUCAUUCUUGAAAAAACGGUUUUUGCUACUGACAUAUGAUUGUGCACAAUAGAUCCUUGUGGUAUAACCCUUCCUCGGACUGCACACAUAACGAGAGUUUUAGUACGUCGAACUCCUUUUUUUAUAUGAUAUUUUUUUUGUCACAGAUAACUGGAGAUAACUGGAGAAACAGUAGGAAAAGUGAAGGUUGUUGUAGGUAUGCAUCAAAGGAAAGCAGAAAUGGCCAGACACUCUGACGCUUUUAUUGCCUUACUAGGUCGGCAUUAGGCCUUACAGUCAAAGUUUUAACUUUUGCACGCAAAUUCCUAUUCAAAAAUACUUAAUAGAGUAAAUGAAAAAAGACAACCAGUGGUUUGAUAUUUGCUAUUUUAGCCAGUAGAUUCAUUAUAUCUCCUGUUUUUCAUUACUCUUGGAUAAAAGUUGAAUUCUUUUUAAAAGUCACAUUCACAUUGAAAUGUUUUUCUUGCGAAUUCAAAAUCUCAACUCUUGAAAUUUAUUCUUUUGAAAUAGGAAAAAAAUUUGAACUCACCAGGGUACGUACAAUGCAUAGUCCAUGGCCAGUCCCACCAUGCCUGAGUAUGAGCAUAGUGAAACAGUGAGAUUUCUUUUUUCAGAUUUCCAUUAACUUGGAUCAAUUCCUGGAGCAACAAAAAGAACAAUCCAGAUAUAGAUAGAGAGUUAAUAUGCAGUAGCAGAAAGUGUGAAAAAUAAGCUAACUGGUGAACUUUAUUGCCAUUUUGGGAGUUGUGAUCUUACCACAACCAAAAUCCUCAACUUCAAACCACAGGAUCAUUUUGUUAUCUUUCUUGGAGAACUUUUUCUCCUGGCUUUCUAGUCGCUUCAACUUCACUUUAGGAGCAGACCAAGAGUCAUUCUGAUUAAGUGAAAAAUUCUUUCCACGCGCACUCCGACACCAUCCCGAAGAAUGAUGUAGCUCGCUGUAAGG